rnacentral:rRNA from 1 species
UACGUAGGGGGCAAGCGUUGUCCGGAAUCAUUGGGCGUAAAGAGCGUGUAGGCGGUCCGGUAAGUCGGCUGUGAAAGUCCAGGGCUCAACCCUGGGAUGCCGGUCGAUACUGCCGGACUAGAGUUCGGAAGAGGCGAGUGGAAUUCCCGGUGUAGCGGUGAAAUGCGCAGAUAUCGGGAGGAACACCAAUGGCGAAGGCAGCUCGCUGGGACGUGACUGACGCUGAGACGCGAAAGCGUGGGGAGCGAACAGG